UUGACGGGGCCCGCACAAGCGGUGGAGCAUGUGGUUAAUCGAUGCAACGCGAAGAACCUUACCAAGGCUUGACAUACACCGGUAACGCCCAGAGAUGGGUGCCCCCUUGUGGUCGGUGUACAGGUGGUGCAUGGUUGUCGUCAGCUCGUGUCGUGAGAUGUUGGGUUAAGUCCCGCAACGAGCGCAGCCCUCGUCCUAUGUUGCCAGCGGGUCAUGCCGGGGACUCAUGGGAGACUGCCGGGGUCAACUCGGAGGAAGGUGGGAUGACGUCAAAUCAUCAUGCCCCUUAUGUCUUGGGCUUCACGCAUGCUACAAUGGCCGGUACAAAGGGCUGCGAUACCGCGAGGUGGAGCGAAUCCCAGAAAGCCGGUCUCAGUUCGGAUUGGGGUCUGCAACUCGACCCCAUGAAGUCGGAGUCGCUAGUAAUCGCAGAUCAGCAACGCUGCGGUGAAUACGUUCCCGGGCCUU
rnacentral:rRNA from 1 species